rnacentral:rRNA from 1 species
UACCAUUUAGUGGGGAAUAACUGUUGGAAACGACAGCUAAUACCGCAUAAUAUUGCUGGAUAAUUUCCAGUAAUGAAAGGAGCUUUCAAGCUCCGCUGAUUGAUGAGGAUGCGGCGCAUUAGCUAGUUGGUAGGGUAAUGGCCUACCAAGGCAAUGAUGCGUAGCCGAUCUGAGAGGAUGAACGGCCACAUUGGGACUGAGACACGGCCCAAACUUCUACGGAAGGCAGCAGUAGGGAAUUUUUCACAAUGGGCGAAAGCCUGAUGGAGCAAUGCCGCGUGACUGAUGAAGGUCUUCGGAUUGUAAAGGUCUGUUGUAAGGGAAGAAAUGGUAAAACAGGAAAUGGUUUUAUCUAUGACGGUACCUUACCAGAAAGCCACGGCUAACUAUGUGCCAGCAGCCGCGGUAAUACAUAGGUGGCAAGCGUUAUCCGGAUUUAUUGGGCGUAAAGGGUGCGUANACGGUUUUGCAAGUCUGANGUUAAAUUUAGGAGCUCAACUCCUAAUCGCCUUGGAANCUACAANACUAGAGUAUAGGANAGGUUAGUGGAAUUNCNNUGUGU